UAAAAAGGUUCAAAGGCGAAAUACGCGAUGUCUUGUCGCUUCAUCUACAGUACAUCCUGUAAGUCGCAACGCCUUUGUGACCAGCAUCCUGUUGA
rnacentral:sRNA from 1 species